GAGAGGACAGGUGGUCACAAACCCUGACAGAGGCUGUGCAGAUCCUAGUCUUGGUUAACCCAAGCAUGUGAGAACCCUCCUGAUGUCACCAGAGUGCUUGAGCUCCUGCCACCUUCCUGACAGGUCACACAUUUGCUGCUGAAGCUUUCCUGUGGGCUGGGGAGUGCAAGCUGAGGCCACAAAGAAGUUUGUAUAUCCUUCCUGGGAACAGCUCAGAGCACAGAGCAGUAUGUGCAGAUGAUCAAGUCCUGCCAGCCCACCUUUGGACACGCCCUAAAGGCUAAUGUCCAGGGCUUCUGUGAACAACUAAGGUGCAUCCAUCUACCCUGCUUCUCUUCUUAAAGGUUUGCCUCCUUUUGCAACUUCCUGCCUCUUACUUCAGCCCUAUAAAAGCAAAUCUAUUUUUGGCAGCUUCAUACAUAGAGCCAGACUCUCACGACACAGAGGAGGGGAAGAGCAAAGGAAAUAGUCCCAGAAAGGGGACUGUGAGGGAAGGAUAAUCCGCCCUUGACCUUGAACAAGCUGAGCUCUGGGAGCUGCAUUGGUUCUUGUCAAGUUGGCCAUCCAUAUCAACUAUCAGAGAGGUCAUGAAUGUCUACGUUCGCAUUGGUGAACUCCUGACAGCUGGUCACCAACCUUGGGAGAGUCUUGCCUCUGAGUGUGACUGAUUCACCAUGGAGCUGCCCUGACGAGGGAGCCUGACAGCGCUCGAUGGCCGGCACUGUGAUGACCCAUCUGACGUCAGAGUUCUCAAAGUCCGACCCUGCCUGGUCACUCAGCUCCUAAUGCCAAGAAUAAGUGUAGGAAGUGAAGCGAUGCUGUUGGCCCCCGGACACACCUCCUGAUACUCUGCUGAAGUCAGUCCUGUACCAGGAACUCCAGAGGAGCUUGUGCUUACAUCCCACACACAGCAGCGUGGACCCAGGGCACCCCUGGCUCUUCUCAAUUAUUUCAUCCACACUCUAUAAAGGAAGGGACUGCUGUUGGUCCCACAUCCUGCUGACUCUGUGAAUUUACAUGUUAUGAGCAUUUCAUACAAAGGGGAUUUUGUGUAUUGUUUUAUGUAAUUUUAUGUAUUGUUUCUUUUAUUUCA